CUCUUUCUCUCUCGCCUACUCUCUCAUUUUCUCUCUCGGUUCUUGGCUGAAAUUCCAGAAAUUAAUUGGAGAAAAUUCGAAUUCAAUAAGGGGUUUGAAGAAGUGAGGUGUAUGAAACAAAUUUGAGGUUGGAAUUGCAAAUCCCCAAUUCCAAUUAUCAGCAAAAUUAGGGCUGUGAAAACGAGGGGUUAUAAUGAUAAAGUCACAUCGUUGAAAAUCCUGGGAAGUCGUCUUUCCUGUGGUGACGGCCUCCAGCUGUGGUCGCCGGAGAUGUUUGCCGGAAUCGGACAAUAAGACAGAAGGUUGCUGAAAUUAUGUUUUAUAUUUUGGGUUCGUCAAACAAUCAAUUGAUGGGAGGUUUUAAAGGUGGAGUUUCGACGAUCAGGAGGUGCCGUUGGAAUCCUUGAUAAGUUAUCUUUCCAUUGGUGGCGGUCUCCAGCAUAGCUGACCGACGGUGGUUGCCGGAAUUGGGCGAGAAGCUCAGCCUGCUCGCUGGACCGAUAAUAAAAUCUGCUGCCACACCUGUUUUCGGAGCCAAAAUAGAAGGGCCUGGAGUAAGCAUUUGGAAUUAGUCUCUUCGCAAAACUCGUAGAGGACCUCGAAAACUAUAAGUAAGUAUAAAAUUGUAUCGAAUUAGAGUAUGUUUUAUAGCUGAUUAGAGGUCCGAAUCAGAUGACAGUAAAUCUAUAAAAACAGGGCAGUUUUGAUGAUUCGUUUUACGGGGCUGUUUAUGUUAUGUUGAGCUAAUAAUUUAGGCUAUGUGUCUUCUAAGAACUUGUAGAUUACAUUUUGAGGUUCAAUUGGGUGUAUUAUUUGGACAAUUUGGAUAACUUUACAAAUAGUUAUGGAUUUUACAAUAAACUGUACCAGAAAAGAGAAUUUAUCCGAAAUUCUGGCAGUUUUCUGCAAUCAUCUUUUGGGGCUGUUUUGAAUAUGUUGGGAUUAUAAUUUGUGAUCCGAGUCUCAGUGAACAUGUAGAUGCAGCUGUUAUCUUUCAUUUGGCAUAUUGAUUUCCUGAUUCCGAUAAUCGUACCAAUUGUUAUGAUUUUUCGAAUAAACAGUGCCAGCGAAUGCAUUUGUUUAAAAACCUGGCAGUUUCAUGCGAGCAUUUUUCCGGGGCUGUUACUGCUGUGUUAGGUCGAUAAUUUGGGGUUGGUUUCUAAAGUGAACUUGUAGAUGAAGUUGUUAUAUUUAAUUUGAUAUAUAGUUUAGGCUAUUCGGAUAAGUACGGCGAUCGUAGUGAUUGUUAGAAUUCACCGUGGCGACAAGAAAUUCUUAAUAAAUGUUUCAAGAAAUUGACUAUGUAAAUCUUAUUAAGUGAUAAAUAUUUGUAUAGGUGUUGAGCAUAGUAAAGCUCUCACUCACUCAAGGCUUGAGCAUGACUCGAGAGUAAGGUGUUUUUAUAGCACUUGCAUUGGACUUCAGGUGCAUAAGUGGACGAUUGUGUUGACUACACUUAGGAGUAAAGUUACUUGGAAGUUUCAUAGAGUUUAAUCGGGUGAUGUUGUAUUUAAGAAUGGUUGUAAUUCAAGAACAAUGUAUACGAGAUUAGUUGUGAGCUUUAAUUGCCACUUGUAUUUGAUUUUAAUAUUGAGUAGUUAAGUUGUAGUUGUUGUA